UGUGGUUCACAGACAUGUACAGAUACAUAAAAUCACAUAUGUACAUAAGACAUGAAAGCGAAAGUGAAACUUGAAGACAAAGGGGAUGAAUGAGAAAAGGAAAUAACUGAACACGGUGCCAUGCAGCUUCACCGCAGAGGCCCAGCGGUCACAGCUCCACAGAUUAUCCACAAGCAGCUGUGAGAAGCACAGGCUUUCCCUAGAAAGAGGCAGGGAGUGCUACUCAGAAACCACAGGCAGCCUUCCCCAGUUCUCCUGUGAUUUUUUUUUUUUUUUUUUUUUUUUUAAGAACCACUUGGUCUGUAAAAUGUUGAAUUUGUUUGCAGGAAAGGUAAACACUGCCAAAACCAACAAGUUCCUUCCUUGGGAGGCAGGGGGCUGUAAGGCAAAUUGGUCUUCAGAUUGAGACAGUGGGGACAAUUUACCCUGGAGCAGCACUAAGCACCCCCUUGGCCCUACCCCUUCCCCAGAACUGCAUUAGACAGAUGAUAAAUCUUGGCUGGAGGGAUUCUGAAUUGUGUACUCAAGGGGUAGGGGAAAUUAAAAUUGAUCCCUUCUAUAAA